ACCUAAUCCCCCUUGCCUGUCUUUGCAGGAUCGUUGCAAGCUUAGAAUAGAAAUCGUUUUGUCUGCGUGUAGUGGAAAACACCAGUUUAAACAGGAUGUCGGAGAUCAGGACGGCUGACCCAGAACACGGGCCAGGGCAGACUUGAAAGCACGAGAGCUUCAUUCACAAAGGUUUCCUGGGAGCAGCUCUUUCUCAGCCUAAACAGAGUCACGCACAGGCUGGCCCUGGCGCUCCCACACGGCUCCCAGAGAGCUUUGAACGUCCUGCAGAGACGCAGCCUCUGUGGAUGGCAGCCCUGAACGCGACUGGGAGUAAUUACCAGUUGGAGAGGGUGCUCCUUGCGAAGCCAGCGCUUCUGCCAGCUACUACCCUUGCAGAGCAGGAGGCAAGGAACAUGGGCUGUCCCACGCCUCCUUGUUUUCUUUCCCUUCAGUGGGACAGUUUCAACUGAUUUUGAUUACCCUGGCGCCAAAUAAAUGAAAACAUUUCAUAGACAUAUAAUCAUCCAUCACUGUGAAGAAAGGAAGAAUGUUUCAUGUUCGGUAUGUUUAUAAAUACACUUAAUGAAAAAAGGACAGUGCUGUCUUUUCUCCACAACUUCGCUGCUGCUGUUGGCCAGAGGGUCCAGCAGCUCUGGGAUCCACCCCCAGAGACCCCGCCACCUUCCCCUCCCACGGUUCGCCUUGACAACACAGCACGAUGGCGCUCGAAGGAAGUCAAGAGAAUGACCUGCUCCUCCAAGGCCAUCUUCUGAACUCUAGCCCCUCUGCAAAGACAGCACAAGGACAGGGAGCCAGGAAAAGCGGAGCUGCCACCCGGCAAUUACCACGCCUGGAUUCUCCUUUGGAAAAGGAGCACAGAAGAACAAUGCUGCAGCCAGGCCUCCUGGACAAGAAGGCAGAAGAUGAAAUGAGAACCAGAACAUGAACAAGAUUUUGCUUCCUGCCCUCCUCCCAGAAAUCCAGCCAGUGUCUGAACUGGCAGCAGGAGGGGAAGGGAAUUUGAGGAGGAGGAAAUUAAAGCACACACCACAAAUUGUAAGUGUGAUAUUCUGUUUUCUCAGUAAAGUUGAUAUUUUUUCAUUUUGACAUUUUGAGGUUCUGUAAGAAUUUGCAGCCUGCAUCUGCAAGUCUGAAUGAUACUCUUCCAAAAGAACAUUGAAUUCAAUAAUUAAGUGAUGAACACCAAGGGUUUCUUUCUGCAGAGGAGAUUUGCUACUCAUUCUUACCCAGACCUCUAAUUUAGGGGCCCAAUGCCAUGUCUUUAUGACACUGGCAAGUGCCAGUAUUAAAAUUCACAUAUUGCAUUUUUCCAUAUUGAAACAUCAACCACAGAUCUCGCUUAUUCCAUUCAAAACCACUUUGCAUAGUCCAAAAGUUAGUGAUCCUCACAGCACCCUGGUG
rnacentral:lncRNA from 1 species